GCCCAGGUGGUGGAAUUGGUAGACACGCAGGACUUAAAAUCCUGUGAUUGCAAAAUCGUGCGGGUUCAAGUCCCGCCCCGGGUA
rnacentral:tRNA from 1 species